UUGAACGCUGGCGGCAUGCCUAACACAUGCAAGUCGAGCGGUAACGCAAGAAGCUUGCUUCUUGGCGACGAGUGGCGGACGGGUGAGUAACACUUGGGAAUCUGCCCAGUAGUGGGGGACAACAUUCGGAAACGGAUGCUAAUACCGCAUACGCCCUAAGGGGGAAAGUGGGGGAUCUUCGGACCUCACGCUAUUGGAUGAGCCCAAGUCGGAUUAGCUUGUUGGUGAGGUAAUGGCUCACCAAGGCGACGAUCCGUAGCUGGUCUGAGAGGACGAUCAGCCACACUGGGACUGAGACACGGCCCAGACUCCUACGGGAGGCAGCAGUGGGGAAUAUUGGACAAUGGGCGCAAGCCUGAUCCAGCAAUGCCGCGUGUGUGAAGAAGGCCUGCGGGUUGUAAAGCACUUUCAGUAGAGAAGAAAAGCCUAGGGCUAAUACCCCUGAGUCUUGACGUAACCUACAGAAGAAGCACCGGCUAACUCCGUG
rnacentral:rRNA from 1 species